UGGACCAGUGAUGAGAAUACGUCAAGAACCAAACAGUAUUAUUAAUUAAUUUCUGUCUACCCUAGGUACAAA
rnacentral:snoRNA from 1 species